GAUGAACGCUGGCGGCGUGCCUAAAACAUGCAAGUCGAGCGAAUGGAUUAAGAGCUUGCUCUUAUGAAGUUAGCGGCGGACGGGUGAGUAACACGUGGGUAACCUGCCCAUAAGACUGGGAUAACUCCGGGAAACCGGGGCUAAUACCGGAUAACAUUUUGAACCGCAUGGUUCGAAAUUGAAAGGCGGCUUCGGCUGUCACUUAUGGAUGGACCCGCGUCGCAUUAGCUAGUUGGUGAGGUAACGGCUCACCAAGGCAACGAUGCGUAGCCGACCUGAGAGGGUGAUCGGCCACACUGGGACUGAGACACGGCCCAGACUCCUACGGGAAGCAGCAGUAGGGAAUCUUCCGCAAUGGACGAAAGUCUGACGGAGCAACGCCGCGUGAGUGAUGAAGGCUUUCGGGUCGUAAAACUCUGUUGUUAGGGAAGAACAAGUGCUAGUUGAAUAAGCUGGCACCUUGACGGUACCUAACCAGAAAGCCACGGCUAACUACGUGCCAGCCGCCGCCGUAA
rnacentral:rRNA from 1 species